GACGAACGCUGGCGGCGUGCCUAAUACAUGCAAGUAGAACGCACAGUUUAUACCGUAGCUUGCUACACCAUAAACUGUGAGUUGCGAACGGGUGAGUAACGCGUAGGUAACCUGCCUGGUAGCGGGGGAUAACUAUUGGAAACGAUAGCUAAUACCGCAUAAUAUUAAUUAUUGCAUGAUAAUUGAUUGAAAGAUGCAAUUGCAUCACUACCAGAUGGACCUGCGUUGUAUUAGCUAGUAGGUGAGGUAACGGCUCACCUAGGCGACGAUACAUAGCCGACCUGGGAGGGUGAUCGGCCACACUGGGACUGAGACACGGCCCAGACUCCUACGGGAGGCAGCAGUAGGGAAUCUUCGGCAAUGGACGAAAGUCUGACCGAGCAACGCCGCGGGAGUGAAGAAGGUUUUCGGAUCGUAAAGCUCUGUUGUAAGAGAAGAACGGGUGUGAGAGUGGAAAGUUCACACUGUGACGGUAUCUUACCAGAAAGGGACGGCUAACUACGUG
rnacentral:rRNA from 1 species